rnacentral:misc_RNA from 1 species
UCAAAGACUAGCAGACGCAAAUUUACUGACACUUUCUUUACAAUUUUACAUCGCAAAGACCGCAUGGAUCCGUCAGAAGUGCUUAACAAUUUCUUGUGAUUCCUUAUCUAUUUAAAUUCUACAAUUUGUAAGUUUUCCAAUAAGGAAAAAUGAGCAUAGAUUCAGUUGCCGAAUACCUGCUCUUUUUGCAGUUGUACGAUCAGUACAAAUUAGAUUGUGUGAGAAAAGGAAAGACUCCAAAUGGAUUGCCGGUUUUUCUUUCAAAUCUGAAAGAUGCACAACGUGUGACUGAACAUUCCUCAGUUUCAGCUGAUGUGGCUGUAUCGGGAUUGGUGAACACAGAUUCACCAUUUAAAUCGUGUGGAACUUUUCAGGAAAUGAAUAGCCACUCGACUGAGGCAAACGAGAGAAGAAGAAAAAGAGCGCUGACAAUGCGAAAAUCUUUAAUGGCUUCUUCUUCAAUAACAGAAGUGAAAGACAAUCCAUCCCUGUCUCCAAGUUGCAACAGUGGCGUCGUUUCACGUCAAAAGAUGAUAGCGAAACGUUUCAACACAUCUAAUACGUUCAAAAUGCAUGUCUAUUUAAUGCCUCACAUUGGAUGGCUUGGGACGAGAGCUUCAAAACAAGAAAAAGUAAUUUGGCUGACAUAUACGUUUCCCAGCGAGUGGUGGAUUUCAACGUUGAAAAUACUGAGGAAGAAAACUACGAUGCUAUUCUAAAGGUUUAUCGCGAUAUUUCGCUGGUAUCUUUUGUGGCCCAAAGAGCUGACGGAAAUGCUAAGACUUUACAUUGUCUCCCUACUCUUAAAAGUGCAGAAUUAAGAAAGUAAGAAAGGCUGUCACCUUAAACAAGCUGGAGUUCCCCAAAUGAUGCAGCUAGAAUGCAAUAGUUUGACAACAGUCUCUGAGCGGUUGUUGUCACUAACUUGCAUUCCCACUAUCGCCUUACUAUAUCCAUCAACAAUUCCAUGAACAACAAAUCCCCAUCUAAAAAAUUAUAUGUUUUAUUGAGUUACUAAAUAGUGAUAUAAAAAGCCAUAAUAUAAUGUAUAUAAUUACCCAUCAAA